rnacentral:rRNA from 1 species
UACGAAGGGAGCUAGCGUUGUUCGGAAUCACUGGGCGUAAAGCGCACGUAGGCGGAUGUGUCAGUCAGGGGUGAAAUCCCGGAGCUCAACUUCGGAACUGCCUUUGAUACAGCACGUCUUGAGUCCGAUAGAGGUGGGUGGAAUUCCUAGUGUAGAGGUGAAAUUCGUAGAUAUUAGGAAGAACACCGGUGGCGAAGGCGGCCCACUGGGAUCGGUACUGACGCUGAGGUGCGAAAGCGUGGGGAGCAAACAGG